GACGAACGCUGGCGGCGUGCCUAAUACAUGCAAGUAGAACGCUGAAGGAGGAGCUUGCUUCUCUGGAUGAGUUGCGAACGGGUGAGUAACGCGUGGGUAACCUGCCUGGUAGCGGGGGAUAACUAUUGGAAACGAUAGCUAAUACCGCAUAAUAUUGACUAUUGCAUGAUAGUCAGUUGAAAGGUGCAACUGCACCACUACCAGAUGGACCUGCGUUGUAUUAGCUAGUUGGUGGGGUAACGGCUCACCAAGGCGACGAUACAUAGCCGACCUGAGAGGGUGAUCGGCCACACUGGGACUGAGACGCGGCCCAGACUCCUACGGGAGGCAGCAGUAGGGAAUCUUCGGCAAUGGACGGAAGUCUGACCGAGCAACGCCGCGUGAGUGAAGAAGGUUUUCGGAUCGUAAAGCUCUGUUGUAAGAGAAGAACGAGUGUGAGAGUGGAAAGCUCACACUGUGACGGUAUCUUACCAGAAAGGGACGGCUAACUACGUG
rnacentral:rRNA from 1 species